rnacentral:rRNA from 1 species
UACGUAGGGUGCGAGCGUUGUCCGGAAUUAUUGGGCGUAAAGGGCUCGUAGGCGGUUUGUCGCGUCGGGAGUGAAAACUCAGGGCUUAACCCUGAGCCUGCUUCCGAUACGGGCAGACUAGAGGUAUGCAGGGGAGAACGGAAUUCCUGGUGUAGCGGUGAAAUGCGCAGAUAUCGGGAGGAACACCGGUGGCGAAGGCGGUUCUCUGGGCCUUACCUGACGCUGAGGAGCGAAAGCGUGGGGAGCGAACGG